rnacentral:lncRNA from 1 species
AGAAGACAACAAACCGUCAUGGAGAAUACUAAUAACGCCGAGAGCCCAUUCCAGCACUCUGCCAGGAGGUCCUUCUCGUUAAAGUAAUAACAGCAGAAAUGGGACCCUUAAAGCCUGCUGAUUUUUGACUAAGUCCUUGUCAAGGGUAAUCUGGGGCAUGUUAAAUAAGCCAUGGCUUUCCUGAAAGACGAAAAUGAUGUGAUAUCGAAAGAAUGACGUACAGGAAGUGAGCCUCUAUGCAACACCAUUCACAGUGGACCAGAUGGUUUGGGAAAUGCGAUCUCAUUGAGA